GUGGGUGUAGCUCAGUGGUGGAGCACAUGCUUGACUUCACAAAGUCCUGGGUUCAAUCCCCAGCACCUCUU
rnacentral:tRNA from 1 species